GAAGUCUGAUAUGUUCCUUAACUUGGCUUUAACAUCUAGGAGGCACCCCUGUCUAUUUUGUUUUCAUUUUCAGCAUAACAGCUUUCCUCUACUUUUUCUACAAGACUUGGGCCACUGAUCCAGGCUUCACUAAGGCUUCUGAAGAAGAAAAGAAAAUGAAUAUCAUCACUCUCGCAGAGACCGGCUCUCUGGACUUCAGAACAUUUUGUACAUCAUGUCUUAUCAGGAAGCCAUUAAGGUCACUCCAUUGCCAUGUGUGUAACUCCUGUGUGGCUCGAUACGAUCAACACUGCCUGUGGACUGGACGGUGCAUUGGUGAGAGAGUCAAGUUUUCAUAGGCCAUUUUGAAGUUUAGCUAUGUUUAGUUAUGGGUGUGACUCAGAAAAAAUGGAAAGACAUUUUAAGGGGUCCAUUCUGUAGCUCUUCCUUGCCAGAGAAUUAUCUCUGUUGUUUUAGACUUUGGGAAAA